GACGAACGCUGGCGGCGUGCUUAACACAUGCAAGUCGAACGAUGAAGCCGGAGCUUGCUCUGGUGAAUUAGUGGCGAACGGGUGAGUAACACGUGAGUAACCUGCCCUUGACUCUGGGAUAACUGCUAGAAAUGGUAGCUAAUACCGGAUACGACCCUCGGCGGCAUCGCCAGGGGGUGGAAAGAAUUUCGGUCAAGGAUGGACUCGCGGCCUAUCAGCUAGUUGGUGGGGUAACGGCUUACCAAGGCGACGACGGGUAGCCGGCCUGAGAGGGUGACCGGCCACUGGGACUGAGACACGGCCCAGACUCCUACGGGAGGGAGCAGUGGGGAAUAUUGCACAAUGGGCGCAAGCCUGAUGCAGCAACGCCGCGUGAGGGAUGACGGCCUUCGGGUUGUAAACCUCUUUUAGUAGGGAAGAAGCGAAAGUGACGGUACCUGCAGAAAAAGCACCGGCUAACUACGUGCCAGCCGCCGCCGUAA
rnacentral:rRNA from 1 species